GGAGAGGUGCCAGAGCGGCUGAUCGGACUGGUUUCGAAAACCAGCGUGCCAUUAUGUGGUACCGGGGGUUCAAAUCCCCCCCUCUCCGCCA
rnacentral:tRNA from 1 species